rnacentral:rRNA from 1 species
CCUACGGGCGGCAGCAGUGGGGAAUAUUGCGCAAUGGGCGAAAGCCUGACGCAGCGACGCCGCGUGAGGGAUGAAGGUCUUCGGAUCGUAAACCUCUGUCAGCAGGGAAGAACGGUCACUGUGCUAAUCAGCAGUGAAUUGACGGUACCUGAGUAAGAAGCCCCGGCUAACUACGUGCCAGCAGCCGCGGUAAUACGUAGGGGGCAAGCUUUAUCCGGAUUUACUGGGUGUAAAGGGAGCGUAGACGGCAGUGCAAGUCUGGAGUGAAAGGCGGGGGCUCAACCCCCGGACUGCUCUGGAAACUGUACGGCUGGAGUGCAGGAGAGGUAAGUGGAAUUCCGAGUGGAGCGGUGAAAGGCGUAGAUAUUAGGAGGAACACCAGUGGCGAAGGCGGCUUACUGGACUGUAACUGACGUUGAGGCUCGAAAGCGUGGGGAGCAAACAGGAUUAGAUACCCGAGUAGUC